rnacentral:lncRNA from 1 species
AAAAAUAAAGUUUAAUUUUUUAAACAUAAAUAGUCAUUUAAAAUGAAAUACGAUAAAUAAAGAUAAAUUUUUUAAGUCUUUUAUAAAAUAAAACACAAAUAUAUGAAAAUGUGACAUUUACUAAAUAUUUGUCAAUUAAAAAAAAAACAAAAAUAAACCCGCGGUUUGAAAGCGCGGAUCAAAAUCUAUUACUUUGUUAUAUGAUAAUCCAUUAUAUAUUAUUAAACGUUAACAGUAACAUAUUUACAACGUUAAGCACUUACUCUUUUAAUGUAACCUUUGACUCUGCUCAUUCCAUAAACUUCUG